GACCCACUCCGGUGGCCUAGCGGUUAGAGCGUCCGCCUCGGAUGUAUGAGGUCGUGGGUUCGAAUCCCGGUCAAGUCA